rnacentral:tRNA from 1 species
GCAGUCAUGGCCGAUUGGUUAAGGCGACUGACUCGAAAUCAGUUUCCAUCUUGGAGCGUAGGUUCGAAUCCUACUAUCUGCG